rnacentral:rRNA from 1 species
UACGGGGGGGGGCAAGCGUUGUUCGGAAUUACUGGGCGUAAAGGGCUCGUAGGCGCCAACUAAGUCAGAACGUGAAAUCCCCAGGCUUAACCUGGGAACUGCGUCUGAUACUGGAUGGCUUGAAUUCGGGAGAGGGAUGCAGAAUUCCAGGUGUAGCGGUGAAAUGCGUAGAUAUCUGGAGGAAUACCGGUGGCGAAGGCGGCAUCCUGGACCGAGAUUGACGCUGAUGAGCGAAAGCUAGGGGAGCAAACGGG